rnacentral:rRNA from 1 species
UACGUAGGUGGCAAGCGUUGUCCGGAAUUAUUGGGCGUAAAGCGCGCGCAGGCGGUCCUUUAAGUCUGAUGUGAAAAGCCCCACGGCUCAACCGUGGAGGGUCAUUGGAAACUGGGGGGACUUGAGUGCAGAAGAGGAAAGCGGAAUUCCACGUGUAGCGGUGAAAUGCGUAGAGAUGUGGAGGAACACCAGUGGCGAAGGCGGCUUUCUGGUCUGUAACUGACGCUGAGGCGCGAAAGCGUGGGGAGCAAACAGG